rnacentral:lncRNA from 1 species
UUCUUGAUCCUAUGUGUUGUAUUGAGUGUUGGUCACUGGUCUUUGGGAAGCUUGGACAGAAGUGGGGCAGCCAUGGAGCUGCUGACUGGGACUGGCCUGUGGCCCGUGGUCAUAGUCACAGUCAUCUUCAUAUUACUGGUGGACAUGUUGCACCGGUGCCAGCGCUGGACUUCUUGCUGCCCACCAGACCCUGUGCCAUGGCCUGUGCUGGGUAACCUGCUGCAGGUGGACCUGGAUAACAUGCCAUAUAACUUGUACAAGGUGUGGUCCUUGCUCCUUAUGGGCCUGAGUGGAAAGAGCAGAGGUGAUUCUCUGCGUCGACCCUGUGCAACUUCAGCCUGGGCAAGAAAUCACUGGAGCAGUGGGUGAUGGAAGAGGUUGGACACCUCUUUGAUGUCUUCACUGCCCAUGCUGGGAGUCCCCUCAAUCCUUACCCUCUCUUGGACAAAGCCGUGUGCAAUGUGAUUGUGUCUCUCAUUUAUGCCCAUCGCUUCGAGUAUGGAGACCCUGACUUCAUCAAGAUGCUAAAAGUAUUGAAAGAGAACAUGGGAGAAAAUAUUGGCUUGUUUUCAGAGGUUCUGAACACAUUCCCAAUUCUCCUACGCAUCCCAGGGUUGGCUGACAAAGUCUUCCCUGGGCAAAAGACAUUUCUCAUAAUGGUGGAUAAGCUGGUGACUGAGCACAAGAGGACCUGGAACUCGGACCAGCCGCCUCGAGACCUGACUGAUGCCUUUAUGGCUGAGAUGGAGAAGGCAAAGGGAAACCCUGAGAGUAGCUUCAAUGAUGCAAAUCUAUGUCUGGUUGUCCUUGACCUGCUGGGUGCUGCAACUGUGACCACCUCAACCACACUGUCCUGGGCCCUGCUGCUUAUGAUCCUGCAUCCGGAUGUGCAGUGUGAGCCUGGCUGGGGCUGUCAAGAAAGGAGGAGGAGGGUAGAGGCAAACUCCUUAAACUUACUUGGGACACUUGUAGAUCCCAGCAUUGAGUUAACCCAGACUGCAGUAAGUAUGGUUGCCUUAUUUCUCCCAUGGACCCAGCCCUUAACAGAGAGGUAGUGGAUGGACAAGGGGCACCCACUGAAGCAUCUUAACUGAUGGGAAAAUGUCCUUCCAGGCCAAGUACAACAGGAAAUCGAUGAGGUCAUUUGGUAUGUGUGGCUUCCAGAGAUGGCAGACCAGGUCUGCAUGCCCUUCACCAAUGCUGUCAUUCAUGAGGUACAGUGCUUACAGUUACUGGGAUAUCAUCCCAAUAACUUUGCCACACAGGACUUCUCGUGACAUUGAAGUGUGGGGCUUUCUUAUCCCUAAGGUAGGUCUGGGUCUCUCCAGUGUCUAGUCAGUGUUGCCAGCUACCCGCUGACUUGAUCUGCCCAGUUAAGAAGGACUAGAUUACAGGCAUUCCAAUUCUCAACUCAAGGGAACCAACAUCCCCUGGGUAAAUAUGGGAAUAGAAACAAGAGCAAUAACUGCUUUAGAAUCCCUACCUAGAAAUGCAGGCAAGGUAAAAUAUGGCAGGAGUGGUUGUAACAGCCACUACCUACAAAUACAGGUCACAGUGUGUACAUCUGUCCCAUCACAUUUCCAUGUCACAGUAUUAAUGAAAUCUGUGAAGCUUCUGUGGUUAGUUUAUAUGACAGCAUCCAGUGUGUGUGUGGUACAGGCUGUGCCUGUGAAUGUCGUGACUAGUAAGGGUCUAGUAAAACUCACCCUGUUCAUGUUCACACAAUGUGCUUCAUGCCAGGGCAUGACUCUCAUCUCCAACCUGUUCCGUGCUGAAGGAUGAGACUGUCUGGGAGAAGCCCCUUCGCUUCCAUCCUGAACACUUCCUGGAUGCCCAGGGCCACUUUGUGAAGCCUGAGGCCUUCAUGCCAUUCUCAGCAGGUGCCUCUAGGGUGCCUUCCUGCCUAUCUUUCCCUAGGGUGCCUUGGAGGGUGGAGCACCAAUCAGGUCCCAGACUGAGCCCUCUUCUACACAUAGGCCACAGAUCAUGCCUGGGGGAGCCCCUGGCCCUCAUGGAGCUCUUCCUCUUCUUCACCUGCCUCCUGCAGCGCUUUAGCUUCUCAAUGCCAGCUGGACAAUCCCUUCCCAGUGAUUAUGGCAUCUAUACAAUGCCAGUUACUCCAGCACCUACCAGCUCUGUGCAGUGGUUUGCUAGCAGGGGCAGUGGCUCCAGCCAUCAUCACAGAUUGUUCUGACUGAUGUCCAAUAAACAAGUUUUGUGUCUGAA